GUGGCUCACUUCGGCAGCACAUACUCUAAAAUUGGAAUGAUACAGAGAUUAUUAUGGCCCCUGCACAAGGAUGACAUGCAACUCUGUGAAGCGUUCCAUAAAACA
rnacentral:snRNA from 2 species